rnacentral:rRNA from 1 species
UACGAGGGGGGCGAGCGUUGUUCGGAAUUAUUGGGCGUAAAGGGUGCGUAGGCGGUUCCGCAAGUCCUGUGUGAAAUCUUCGGGCUCAACUCGAAGUCUGCACGGGAAACUGCGGGGCUUGAGUGUGGGAGAGGUGAGUGGAAUUCCCGGUGUAGCGGUGAAAUGCGCAGAUAUCAGGAGGAACACCGGUGGCGAAGGCGGGUCUCUGGGCCGUUACUGACGCUGAGGAGCGAAAGCGUGGGGAGCGAACAGG